rnacentral:rRNA from 1 species
GACGAACGCUGGCGGCGUGCUUAACACAUGCAAGUCGAACGGAAAGACCCUGCUUUUGUGGGGUGCUCGAGUGGCGAACGGGUGAGUAACACGUGAGUAACCUGCCCUUGACUUUGGGAUAACUUCAGGAAACUGGGGCUAAUACCGGAUAGGAGCUCCUGCUGCAUGGUGGGGGUUGGAAAGUUUCGGCGGUUGGGGAUGGACUCGCGGCUUAUCAGCUUGUUGGUGGGGUAGUGGCUUACCAAGGCUUUGACGGGUAGCCGGCCUGAGAGGGUGACCGGCCACAUUGGGACUGAGAUAGGGCCCAGACUCCUACGGGAGGCAGCAGUGGGGAAUAUUGCACAAUGGGCGGAAGCCUGAUGCAGCAACGCCGCGUGCGGGAUGACGGCCUUCGGGUUGUAAACCGCUUUCGCCUGUGACGAAGCGUGAGUGACGGUAAUGGGUAAAGAAGCACCGGCUAACUACGUG